GUGAGUUCCCACAAGAUCUGAUGGUUUUAUAAGGGGCUUCUCUCUUUGCUCGGCACCCAUUCUUCUCUUUCCUGCUGCCAUGUGAAGAAGGAUGUGUUUGCUUUUCUUUCCGCCUUGAAUGUAAAUUUCCUGAGGCCUCCUUUGCCCUGCAGAACUGAUAUGCUAUGAGAAGAUUGUCAUUCAAACAGCCCAGAAACAAGAACUGAACAGCACUAAACAAAAGCAGCCCCUGGAUUUUCUGACAAACCAGAAAUAAUUUUCCAGAUGCAGGCAGCAUACUCAAGUUGGCAUUUGCUCAUGGCCAUGUGGUAGAAAGAAGAAGGCUGAAGGCAAAGGGGUACCAAGGAAUAAAAGAUUGAUGAAGGCUGUGUUAAAGAAGUGGUGUUCCAGCUGAGCCUGAAAGCAAAGGUCAAGUUUGAAUUGAUAGAGGUGAGAAAAGAAGACAUUCUAGAUGAGAAGGGCAACGUGAGGCAACGUGAGGAAAAUCCUAAGGGUGAAAGUAAGCAGGGUUCCAGGGAUACAUGUGCAGGUUUCUUACAUGGGAUACAUUGCGUGUCGCUGAGGGUUGGUGUACAAUGAUCCCGUCACCCAGGUAAUGAGCAUGAUACCUAAUAGGUAUCUUCUGACCUACACCCCCUUUCAAGCAGUCUCCAGUGUCUAUGGUUCGCAUCUUUGUGUCCAUGUGUAUUCAGUGUUUAGCUCCCAUGUAUAAGUGAGAACAGGCAGUAUUUGGUUUUCUAUUCCUCUGUUACUUCACUUAGGAUAAUGGCCCCCCAGCUGCAUCCAUGUUGCUGCAAAAGACAUAAUUUCAUUUUUAAUGGCUGUGUAGUGUUCCAUGGUGUAUAUGUGCCACAUUUUCUUUAUCCAGUCCUCCAUCGAUGGGCAUUGAGGUUGAUUCCAUGUAUUUGCUAUUGUGAAUAGUGCUACAGUGAACAUACAAGUGCAUGUGCCUUUUUGAUGAAAAGAUUUGUUUUCCUUUGGGUGUAUACCCAAUAGUGAGAUUGCAGAAUCAAAUGGUAGUUCUGUUUUUAAGUUCUUUGAGAAAUUUCCACAUUGUCUUUCACAGCAGCUGAACUAAUAUAAAUUCCCACCAGCAGUGCAUAAGUCUUCCCUUUUCACUGCAAACUUGUCAGCAUCUGUUGUUUUCUUUACUUUUUAAUAAUAGUCAUUCUGACAGGAGUUAGAUUAUAUUUCAUUGUGGUUUUGAUUUGCAUUUCUCUGAUGAUUAAUGAUGAUGAGCAUUUUUCAUAUAUUUGUUGGCUGCAUGUAUGUAGACGUAAAAUUAUUGACAAGAAUAGCACAAAGGACAGGAAGGCAGAAAUUGAAGUAUAAUGUUUUAAUGUUUGUACAUUGUACAUAAAUCUGUGGCAUGCCAAAGAAAUGAUUCCAGAAAAGGGUAUCUAAAUAAAAAUGUCUAAAGGGUAUUAUUAUUUGGAAGUAUUCUAUAUGAAGAUUUUCUUAAUUACUCUACUGUCAGAAGUAGGUACUGUAAAAAAAUCUGGAUCAUAUACCACUCACUAUUUGCCAAAGAUGAAUUAAGUUUGAUUCUGAAAUAUAUAUAUGGGGGAAAAACCCAAGUGUAUUAUUAUUCUUGUGAUGGAUAACACUAAGCAGGUAUAUUGUGUUUGAUUAAAACAUACCUGGGGAAUAAUUGGUGCUAAAUAUGGAUACUUGAUGAACAGUGAUAUAAUAUUUGAAUCCUGAAAAGGAAGUCAAAGUUUGCUUUUUCCCACACAUAACAAAAGAAAACAGAAUAAAAUUUUAUCAAGGGGAUGAAUGCCAGGAAGGUGUCAUCAACAAGUGAGAAGAGUAUCUGUAACAAAGAAUAUCCAGGGGCAGGAGACUUCUAGGAGAGUUUCCUUGAAUUUCUGCACCAGAAAAUCCCAAAUAUGUUAUGGAAUCUUUUUUUCCGUGUAUGUAAUAAUGUAGGAUUCUUCACAUAUUUUUAUCCCUUUGACCUUCUGGAUGGAUUUGGGAAAUUCUUGCAAGCAAGUCAAAGUGGGAUUUCAGAGAAUGCGUAUUCCGCAAGGACAUGUCUGUGUAUUUGCCUUAUUCACUUGUAAUAAGUGAUACAAUUUGCCUUAAGUGAAGUGCACAAGUGGAUGUUGAAACUUUUAAUUCAAGAACCGUAACAUUGGAUGAGAAUCAAUGUCUAUUCAGUCUUAAUUAAUGCUCACACAAAUAAGAUAUUUCUUAAAAAUUAUAGGAGCAAGAUAUUUAUUUAAUAUAUAGAAGCCUGAAGCUUAAAUAGUGCUACUAAAUAAUCUGGCUAGUUAACCAAGAUUUAAGAGUUAUUAUAAUAUUAUUCAAAAGCAAGUAGUAAUAUGUAUAUAUGGCUAUAUUCGUAGACCAGAAAAUUAAACAUAUUUUCUGAGAGGCAUUCUGUGAGAAUAAUUUUACCAGUAAAGGAGUUAAUAGUUUGAAGAGAUGAAAUUCAGCACCAGCAAAUAAAUGGCAAGAGACUCCAUGGUUGUCUCUUUGCCAAAGUAGCGGGCUUGUUUUUAAGCUUAUAUAACCAUUUAUAUUUUAAGCAGGUUUCUGAGAAAUUGAAAGACAGCUUGGAAAGCUGGUGCUUUUUUGUUCAAAACAGACAAACUUUUAAAAUUACUUUUUAACAUGAAACCAGUAGAACAGAUUCCCUAGUUGAAGUAUAACAAAUUCAUUGACUCCUAAAUGUUGUUAAAGGACCUAGUAAUUACUGCCCUAGUCAUUGAAGAUUCUCAGGUAAUACAAGUCUCUGUUGCCAAGGGGAAUACAUGAUGGUGGCUGGAGAGAGACAAUAAACAAAAAAGGCUCUGUCAUGUUAGUGCUCUGAAGUACUAAUAGGUUAAAUAAUCAAAGUAAAGAGAUAUGGACAGAGAAUGGAUGGGGUGAGCUACUUAGUUAGAGUGGUCAAGGAAGGUCUCUCUUUUAAGGUUAUAUUUGAACAUAAACUUGAAUGAAGCGAUGCAGAGAUCCAAUGAUAUUUAUCUUAUAGAUGCAUAAAUACAUAGAUUUAGGUAUAGAUAAUUCUCCAGGUAGAAGAUAUAGCAAUUGCAAAGGCCUAAGAGUGGAAGAGUACCUGGUGCAUUCAAAAAACAGCAAGAAAGACAACACAGCAAUGCCCCAGGGCAGGGUGUAAUCGGGUGGUAGGAGAUAGGUCCAGAGAAAGGAAAAGGGGCCAGAACAUGUAGGCAGCUGUAAGCAAUAAUAAAAACUUUGGAAUUUAUUCUGAGUAAGAUGGAAUGAUCUGGGAAAUAUUUGAGUUGAAAAGUGAUAAUCUGAGCUUUGUUGUGGGAAAUAGACAGUAGUAAGGUAAGCAAGAAGGAUAAUUGCAGAUAACUUCAGUAUCCAGGCAAAAACCAAUUUCAGCUUGGACCAGGGGCUGAUAUUGGUGAAAAAUGGUUAGAUUCUCAAAGUAUUUUGAAGUAAAAACCACUGUGAUUUGUUAAUAGAUCAAAUCUGGGGUGUGAAAGAAGGGGAGGUAACAAGGAAGACUUAAAGACUUUUGGCCUAAACUGUUGGAAGAAUGGAAUUCUAUUUAUUGAUACAGGGCAAAUAAGGGAAAAACAAGAAUAAGGGGAGAAGAAUCAAGAGUUUAGUUUUUCAAAGUUAAUUCUGAGAUGUCUUUUAGGCAUUCAAGAAUUGGUGUCAAAAACAGAAUUGGAUAUGAGUAGACAGUGGAUAUAUUUCAAGGAGAAGUAACAGUGGAUUUUGAACCUGAAAGUUAUUAGCAUAAAGAUGACAUUUAAAACCAUGGGAAGACUUUGUUGGUAUAUAGAGAAAAGAAAUGAUCCCAUAACUGAGUUCUAAAAUGUCCUGUUGUUUACAGAUUGGAAAUCUGAGAUGGAGAUAGGAAAGCAUGCUGCGAAUAAGUGAGCAAAGGAUGAGAACCUAGAGUUAGGAUCAAGAGAAAGGUGUAGUUGAAGCAGAAUGGAGUGAUAAGCUAUGCCAAAUGCUACUGAUUAUUAACUAUUCAUUGGCAGAUGGCUAAUCAGAUACAGUCGCUAUUCAUUGCCUCUUUUCUUUGCUGAUUCGUCAUGACAGCCUCUUGCUAUAUAUCAGGACUUCCCUCCUGGGUGGCAAUACCAAUUGGUCAAAAGAGUCAGUUAUCCAACAUUCAAAGGUCCCAGGAGGUGAAAUCUGAUUUAUAUAACGAGUUCUACUUCUAUACACAAAACAGUGUAUUUUGUGAUACUUUCUCCUUUUUUAUAACAAACUCCUAUCCUCUCAAAGAAUGAGUCAUUAGAGAAGAAAAAAAGGAACAUUGUGGAAAAUUAAAGUAUCCAAAAAUAUGUUAAAAAUUCCACUUGGGAAGACUUUGCUGCUUUAUCAUUAGUCCAAUGCUUUUCAAAAAUUAACCCAGAGGAGAGUUCAGUGACUCUACUCAUGAACUUGAACAUGACAUUCAAAUAUUCUACUCAUGAACUUGAACUUAGAUUUUAGGGAAGUAAGUGUUAUUGAAUUAAAAGUGUGCCUUUAAAUAUAUAGACUCUCCUUGUCUACGAUGUGUAUCUAUUUUUUCCGCUAAUAAUCAAAAAAAUAUUGUGUAUUUGAGUAAACAUAAUCCAUGUUUGACCUAGUCUAGUCAUCAUUUUAACCUCUUGUGUUCAUAAAUAUAAUAGAUAAAUGCUGUCUUUUAAAGUAACAUCAGACUUAUGUACUUCAAUAUAAUUAUAUUAUAUUGAAUUAUAUAUAUAUUGAAUUGAAUUAUAACACAAUCACUAAAACAUGGCUUUCUAUAAUGACAUAGAACCUGUUUUAACACACUGUAGUUAAAUUUCUAUAUCAUUAGUAUAAAGCUUACAAAAUAACAUAAAAAGUUUUGAUGACAGAAAAUAUCUAAUAUUAAACUAAACCCAAGUGCUUUCAGCUCUCUGUAUCUUUGGGUGCCACAUCUGUAGAUUCAAUCAACCUCAGAUAAAAAUAUUUAGACAAAAAAUUGCAUCUGUACUGAAAAUGUGCAACUUUUUUCUUGACAUUAUUCCCUAAACAAUACAGUAUAACUAUUUACAUAGCAUUUACAUUGUAUUACUGAUUAUAAGUAAUUUAGAGAUGAUUUAAAGUAUGCAGAAAGAUGUGUGUCAAUUAUAUGCAAAUACUAUGCCACUUUAGCUCAGAGACUUGAUAUCUGUGGAUUUUGGUAUACUUGGAGAGUCCUGGAACCAAUCCCUAUGGAUAGUGAGGGAUGACUGUAAUUGAGAUUCUUUAUAAGCUUAAAAUAAAACUUACAAUGAGAAAUCAAGAAAGAGAGCUCAGAUAAAAAGAAAGUCUUUGCUCAGAGACAAACUACAAAGCAAGAAAGGCUGUUUCCAUUGAGUCUUCUUUUCUUCAGAAAGUAUACAGACGGUAACUGGUAUAUGAGUUGGAUUUGGGGAUACAAUAGCAUACAUGAGACCCAGCCAGGGACAGCCCUUUUAAAACCUCAGGCAAAGAAAAAUUACAGGCUACUGUUUUCCUAAGGCAAAGAAAAAUUAUAGGCUAGUGUGACUCUGGGUCCCACUAAUGGAUUCUCUAUGGGGUCUUAGCAAUGUGUGUAUGGGAAGGCGGAGCAUGAACUGGUUUCCCACAGUAAUUUGAUGCCACAAGCAAUUCUGUUCUAAUGGAGUUAUAAUAGACUCUUUACUUCAAACAAACACUGAUGUUAGUGGACAUUAAUUUUCAUGGUGUUUUCCUCUGAGAAAGGAGGGAUUUUGUUCAGGACAAUAAGACACUGUUUCAAUUUGUGAGAUGGAAGUUUUCAAAGAGAGAAAAAAAGAAGAGUCUAUGCUUUUAUGCUUUAUCCAAGAUUUGUCUCGACUCUUUUCUGCUUUGUCCUCUGGCCAUAUCUAUAUUACGAUUUAUUGCAGAGUAAUUGAUGGCUUUGCCAAAUGGUGGUACACUGUAGUCUUUACAAUGCAUUGUGGUCUUUAUGAUGUUUGCAAUGAGAUAAAAAAGAAUGCAAACCACUAUUUUUUAGUAUAUCUCCUGAAAUUCCAUAUCCCUUCAAAAGUGUACUAUGUAAAGUACAAAUCAGUCUGUACUUUGCUGUGCCUUAAAAAUCUUUAGUAGCUUUCCUUUAUCAACAUAGUAGGAUCCAAACCCUUUCGUAUGGCAGACAAGUCCUUUCUUCAUCUGGCCUUUCUAUGUGAAACGUCUCGCAGUUUAACUGAUCUCUGUGUUAUUUCUUGCCUGUGUGUUUUUGUUAAUUCUGUAUGCUGUGCCUAGAAUUACUUUACCUUUUGCUCUUCCUCCAGUUGCCUGUCUUACCUAUAGAAACAGCCUUUACUCCUCUAGGAAGCCUUCCUGCCAUCAUCCAGGUUAUGCAAUGUGUGUCUCCUGUGUUCUCACGAUGACAUAUAUCUGUUAGUGUACUUGCUACAUUAAAUUAUCACCAAUUCUAUUUUUUCUCUGUCCCCCAAAAUACUGUGGUCUCCUUAAAAGCAGGAAAUGUUAACCAUUAAUUCUUUGUCAAGAGCAAUGGCUAGCUAAAAAGUGAGCAAUCACAAAAUAAAUGUUUGUCAGGUGAAUGAAUGAAUGAACCAAUGGUUAGUAUUAGACCCUACCAGUUCUAAUAGGUUUAAUGCUCUUUUUUUUUUUCAUCCAGCCUCUCCCAAACACCUUAAAACAAACACAUCUUGAAGGAUGUACCAUGCAUUCCAUUAUGAUUUAGUUUGGAAGGAGUUUGGUGUACUAUAACAACUGAAGGUAUUAGUGUGCCCGGAGAGAAAGCAUAUUUGAAGCAGAGUUGUAAUUAUAACAAAGGAAGAGUCCUAGCUCAUGAUUUAUUGCCUGAAAAUUUCCAAUGUGAGUACAAUUAGUGCACUCUUAGAAUGGCUCCAAAUGAUGAAGGAUUUAAUUACAUGA